rnacentral:rRNA from 1 species
AACGCGAAGAACCUUACCCAGGCUCGAAAUGUAGUGGGCGAUAACAGAAAUGUUAUUUUCCGCAAGGACCAUUAUAUAGGUGCUGCAUGGCUGUCGUCAGCUCGUGCCGUGAGGUGUUUGGUUAAGUCCAGCAACGAGCGCAACCCUUGUCCUGUGUUGCCAUCAUUCAGUUGGGAACUCGCAGGAGACCGCCAGCGAUAAGCUGGAGGAAGGUGGGGAUGACGUCAAGUCCUCAUGGCCUUUAUGUCCAGGGCUACACACGUGCUACAAUGGACGGUACAAUACGUCGCUAACCCGCGAGGGGGAGCCAAUCGCUAAAAACCGUUCUCAGUUCGGAUUGCAGGCUGCAACUCGCCUGCAUGAAGCUGGAAUCGCUAGUAAUGGCAGAUCAGCACGCUGCCGUGAAUACGUUCCCGGGCCUUGUACACACCGCGAGC